rfam:Mesorhizobium sp. L48C026A00 scaffold0007, whole genome shotgun sequence.
CCGGUUGCCGAAUGGGACCGGCAGAACCCAGGGAGCGCCAAGCUCUUUGGCGUCCCUCGUACUAUGUUGCUCCAUAGAGGAUGUAGCUAUGAGAA